rnacentral:tRNA from 1 species
GGGGGAUUAGCUCAGCUGGCUAGAGCACCUGCUUUGCAAGCAGGGGGUCAUCGGUUCGACUCCGAUAUUCUCCA